AAAAAUCAGCUAUUAGUUUCACUUGCAGGAUGCAGGACGUGGCUACAACAGGGGGAGCCCCGCUGCCGCCCCAGAAAGUCGCUGCUGGCCCCGGGGAUGGGAGAGUAGUGAGGGGGAGAAGGAGUCUUGUGCCAAUAGGAAGUCACGCUACGCUCCUCCCUCCCUACAGCGUUUAUCCAAGCCAGGCAAGUACUUUCCAAUAAAGGAUUUUGAUGAUGAUGAAGAAGAUGAAGAAGAAGAAUGAAGAAGAGGAGGAGUCUUCCAAAAUGGAUAAAGGAAAGCAGCCCUAGCAUGGAAGACUCAGCAUGUGAAGGAGAACCUACAGAUGCAAGAUCUGCCCCAGCUCUGCCAUUAACCUGGGCGCCCUUCCCUUCCCUUCCCUUCCCUUCCCUUCCCUUCCCUUCCCUUCCCUUCCCCUGUCUGAGCCUGUUUUCUCAUUACCAACAGAACAAGUCAAUCUCAUACAUAUCUUUUCACCCAGUCUAGUCCAUGUUUUUGUUAUCUAAUACCUGUCAUAUUUAUUAUUGUUUAUAGUUAUUAUUUAGAUUGAUAGGUAUUAAUAAAAGUGGAUUUCUAUUGAGUGCUUAAUAUUUACUAGGAUUACACCAUAUAUUCUAACAUUUCAUUCAUUCAUUUCAUCCAUGUAUUCUAACAUUUCAUUCUCAGAGAGACCCUAGUGAUUGCAUACUUCUCAGAUACAACAGCUGAGGUUCAGAGUAGUAACAUAAAUGUCCCAAAGUGAGACAAAGAAUAAGUGACAGAGCUGGGAUUUGAGCCUGAACCUAUUUUUUCCCCCAAGAACUUCAUUUUCUUCAUGUUGCCCUAGCCCCUGGUCAGAAUCUGACAGGAGACGAAGAGCAACGCUGAUAAGUCACAGAGCAUGAGCUCCCCCUUCCUCAGUUCCUUAUUGUCACCAUGCAGAAGCAAACAUGAAACAAUGGCCUCUGCAAAUCUCUGGUGAUUCUCCAGAUCUGGAGAAUCUUUUUCUUCGCUAGAGAAAG